rnacentral:rRNA from 1 species
GAAUUCGCCCUUAGAGUUUGAUCCUGGCUCAGGACGAACGCUGGCGGCGCGCUUAACACAUGCAAGUCGAACGGAGCUGAGAGGAGCUUGCUUUUCUCAGCUUAGUGGCGAACGGGUGAGUAACGCGUGAGUAACCUGCCCUGGAGUGGGGGACAACAGUUGGAAACGACUGCUAAUACCGCAUAAGCCCACGGCCCGGCAUCGGGCUGCGGGAAAAGGAUUUAUUCGCUUCAGGAUGGACUCGCGUCCAAUUAGCUAGUUGGUGAGGUAACGGCCCACCAAGGCGACGAUUGGUAGCCGGACUGAGAGGUUGAACGGCCACAUUGGGACUGAGACACGGCCCAGACUCCUACGGGAGGCAGCAGUGGGGGAUAUUGCACAAUGGGGGAAACCCUGAUGCAGCGACGCCGCGUGGAGGAAGAAGGUUUUCGGAUUGUAAACUCCUGUCGUUAGGGACGACAAUGACGGUACCUAACAAGAAAGCACCGGCUAACUACGUGCCAGCAGCCGCGGUAAAACGUAGGGUGCAAGCGUUGUCCGGAAUUACUGGGUGUAAAGGGAGCGCAGGCGGACCGGCAAGUUGGAAGUGAAAACUAUGGGCUCAACCCAUAAAUUGCUUUCAAAACUGCUGGCCUUGAGUAGUGCAGAGGUAGGUGGAAUUCCCGGUGUAGCGGUGGAAUGCGUAGAUAUCGGGAGGAACACCAGUGACGAAGGCGACCUACUGGGCACCAACUGACGCUGAGGCUCGAAAGCAUGGGUAGCAAACAGGAUUAGAUACCCUGGUAGUCCAUGCCGUAAACGAUGAUUACUAGGUGUGGGGUGUCAAAGCUCAGUGCUGCAGUUACCGCAUAAGUACUCCCCUAGAGGUAGUACCGUUGGCAAGAAUGAAACUCAAAGGAAAUAGACGGGGGCCCGCACAAGCGGUGGAAGCAUGUGGUUUAAUUUGAAGCAACGAGAAGAACCUUACCGGGUCUUGACAUCGAUCUUAAGGCUCCAGAGAUGGAGAGACAGCUAUAGAGAAGACAGGCGGUGCAUGGUUGUCGUCAGCUCGUGUCGUGAGAUGUUGGGUUAAGUCCCGCAACGAGCGCAACCCCUGUUGCCAGUUGCCAGCAUUAAGUUGGGGACUCUGGCGAGACUGCCGGUGACAAGCCGGAGGAAGGCGGGGAUGACGUCAAAUCAUCAUGCCCCUUAUGACCUGGGCUACACACGUGCUACAAUGGCCAGAGCAGAGGGAAGCGAAGCCGCGAGGUGGAGCGAAACCCAUAAAACUGUUCUCAGUUCGGACUGCAGUCUGCAACUCGACUGCACGAAGAUGGAAUCGCUAGUAAUCGCGAAUCAGCAUGUCGCGGUGAAUACGUUCUCGGCCCUUGCACACACCGCCCGUCA